CACCCGAGAUACCACGGUCAUUUCCUCGGCCAUUUUCUUCGCUGCUUUGAACGUAGAGUCGUCGUUUGCGUGUGUUUUGCAAGUGACGAUUCAAGAUGGUAAACGGUAGGAUUCCUUCAGUCUUCUCAAAGACUUACGUUACACCACGUCGGCCUUAUGAAAAGGCACGUCUUGACCAAGAGUUGAAAAUUAUUGGAGAAUAUGGUCUCCGUAAUAAACGUGAAGUAUGGAGAGUAAAAUAUACUCUUGCUAAAAUUCGUAAAGCUGCCCGAGAGCUGCUUACACUUGAAGAAAAGGACCCAAAACGUCUCUUUGAAGGGAAUGCUCUUUUGCGUCGUUUAGUAAGGAUUGGAGUACUAGAUGAGAGCCACAUGAAACUUGAUUACGUCUUGGGUCUUAAGAUUGAAGAUUUCUUGGAGCGUCGUCUACAAACUCAAGUUUUUAAGCUUGGAUUAGCUAAAUCUAUUCACCAUGCUCGUGUUCUUAUUCGUCAGAGACACAUUCGAUACUCAUAAAGUGUACUCAAACUGAAUAAUUGACUGGAAACACUUAUAUUUUUUUUCAUUAAGGCCACUAAAGUGUCUGGCUGACUUACCGGCACUUUACGCCUCGCUAAAGUAACGUUCAGAUGCCAAUGAGCAGAAAUAUUUAUCAAACAGACCACUUAAUGCGUCUUGAAGACGCUUAACGUCUGGUAGAUUCCAAGAGGAAUCUUAUAAACAGCUCGGGAAUUGUGUCCGCAAGCAAGUCGUGAACAUUCCAUCGUUCAUUGUACGUUUGGAUUCGCAGAAGCACAUUGACUUCUCGUUGAAAUCACCCUUCGGUGGUGGUCGUCCUGGACGUGUAAAGAGGAAGAAUCUUCGUAAGGG